rnacentral:rRNA from 1 species
UACGUAGGGUGCGAGCGUUAAUCGGAAUUACUGGGCGUAAAGCGUGCGCAGGCGGUUUUUGUAAGUCUGUCGUGAAAGCCCCGGGCUUAACCUGGGAAUUGCGAUGGAGACUGCAAGGCUUGAAUCUGGCAGAGGGGGGUAGAAUUCCACGUGUAGCAGUGAAAUGCGUAGAGAUGUGGAGGAACACCGAUGGCGAAGGCAGCCCCCUGGGUCAAGAUUGACGCUCAUGCACGAAAGCGUGGGGAGCAAACAGG